UGGGGAAUUUUGGACAAUGGGCGAAAGCCUGAUCCAGCAAUGCCGCGUGUGUGAAGAAGGCCUUCGGGUUGUAAAGCACUUUUGUCCGAAAAGAAAUCCUUGGCUCUAAUACAGUCGGGGGAUGACGGUACCGGAAGAAUAAGCACCGGCUAACUACGUGCCAGCAGCCGCGGUAAUACGUAGGGUGCAAGCGUUAAUCGGAAUUACUGGGCGUAAAGCGUGCGCAGGCGGUUUGCUAAGACCGAUGUGAAAUCCCCGGGCUCAACCUGGGAACUGCAUUGGUGACUGGCAGGCUAGAGUAUGGCAGAGGGGGGUAGAAUUCCACGUGUAGCAGUGAAAUGCGUAGAGAUGUGGAGGAAUACCGAUGGCGAAGGCAGCCCCCUGGGCCAAUACUGACGCUCAUGCACGAAAGCGUGGGGGAGCAAACAGGAUUAGAUACCCUGGUAGUCCACGCCCUAAACGAUGUCAACUAGUUGUUGGGGAUUCAUUUCCUUAGUAACGUAGCUAACGCGUGAAGUUGACCGCCUGGGGAGUACGGUCGCAAGAUUAAAACUCAAAUGAAUUGACGGGGUCAUAGCUGUUUCCU
rnacentral:rRNA from 1 species